CCUUGCGCUAUCUACACACGUAACAUGUUCUUCUUUUGUAUAAUUAUACACUAUAAAAUUAUUGUAUGCUUACCUUUGGUGGAAUUUCAGAGUUGAAAGGACAUGAAGUUUCCACGCGAGGGGAGUUAAUUUUGGUUGUCCUUUGUUUCAUAAAAAAUGUUGGUAUAAUUUAGAACUAUGUUUAUUUGGUGUAACCGGAAUUAAUCACUGGUUAAACAUAUAGAAGGAGUCUCUCUAUUGGAAGGGGAAAAUAUAAUAUUAGACACCAUUUAUUUUUCUGCUUGCUGAUGCAUGCAAUGUAUCAUUUGGCCUUGAUUUAAUGUACUGCACUUUUCUUCAUUGCUCUCUGUUCUUUAAUAAGUCAGACUCAUAUAGAACCUGAUAUUUCUUAGUGAUGUCUUCAGAUCCCAUGAAUGUCAUUUUGCACCAAAGGUUUGUAACCAUUGGGGAAUGUUUUCUUGCUCUGAUGUAUCAAGUUGCCAUGGGGGUGAUCUAGAGGUCUCUUCCUUGUCCAAAGUAUGUCGUACCUAAUCAAGACAUGUUCAUUUAAUUUACCCGUCAUGUAAAUGACACAAUAUGAUUCACUUGUGUAUAGUGUAAACAUAUAUUUAUUUAUGGCAAGCAGGUGUUCAAAUUAUAGUUGUGAAACGUGUAUAGUGUAAGGAUAUAAUUAUUAAGGGAAGUGACGUCACAGUGGUCGUGCCUGGUCU